GCUGGGCAUGGUGGCGCAUGCCUGUAAUCCUAGCCACUUGGGAGGCUGAGACAGGAGGAUCACAAGUUCAAACACAGCUUCAGCAACUUAGCAAGGCCCUAAGCAACUCAGAGAGACUCUGUCUCUA
rnacentral:sRNA from 1 species